AUGCCAGAAGCAAUAAAUAAAUGAAUCUUUUUAUUGUUUAUUUUAUAGAUCGGCUGUACUUUGCUACACUCCGAGGCAGACCACGAUCAAAGCCUAAUGUUCACUAUUUUUCUAUUGAUGAUGAACUCGUUUAUGAAAAUUUUUAUAUGGACUUUGGUCCUUUAAACCUUGGAAUGCUCUACCGGUACUGCUGUAAACUAAACAAAAAGCUCAAGUCUACCAACCUUAGCAGAAAGAAGAUAAUCCACUACACCAGUUUAGAUGGUCGCAAGAGAGUGAAUGCUGCUUUUCUUAUAGGUUCUUAUGCGAUUAUAUAUCUGAAGAUGACACCAGAAGAAGCAUAUAAACCUUUAGUUAGCAACAGUUCAAAUCCCACAUUUAUUCCAUUCAGAGAUGCUUCCUUUGGAUCAAACAGUUUUGAUCUCCAUUUACUUGACUGUCUUCAGGCUGUUAGUAAGGCUCUUAUGAAUGGUUUCUUUAACUUUGAAACAUUUGAUGUGGAUGAAUAUGAAUAUUAUGAGAAAGUGGAAAAUGGUGAUUUAAACUGGAUAAUUCCAAAUAAAUACUUAGCUUUCUGUGGACCUCAUUCAAAGCAAGCUCGAGAAGAUGUUUUCAAGUUCAUCCCUAACUUUCAGUUGCCAUUGGCUCCAAUCUUGAGACCAUUGGGGUUAGGCUUCAUUUCGAAAAUUCCUUGUGUUCGGCACAUUAUGAUAAAGGUUCAGACUCUGGGAAGUCCUGAAGGUUACCCUGUUCAUUCUCCUGAAGCCUAUCUGCCAUACUUUAGAGAACAUAAUAUUACUGCUGUUGUCCGCCUGAACAAGAAAAUUUAUGACGCCAAACGUUUUACUGAUGCUGGUUUAGAUCAUUAUGAUCUUUUCUUCGUUGAUGGAAGUGUUCCAACUGAUAAUAUUGUGAGGAAAUUCUUGGAAAUUAGUGAAAAAUGUGAUGGUGGCCUUGCUGUACACUGUAAAGCUGGUUUGGGUCGGACAGGAACCUUAAUAGCUUGUUACAUUAUGAAGCAUUAUAGAUUCUCUGCAGCAGAAUCUAUAGCAUGGUUACGGGUCUGCAGGCCUGGCUCUGUAAUAGGACCACAGCAGAAUUUCCUGAUUGAAAAACAAGAUUGGUUAUGGUUGCAAGGAGAUCUUUAUCGUAGUAAAGUGAAAGACUAUGACAAAGUUUAUGAAAAUAACUGUGUCUCCAAGAUUAUGUCUGCUGUUGAUGGUAUGAAGCUACAUGAUGUUGGUAUAUCUGGUUUUGAAAACGACAGCAAAUCACUUGAUGUUUAUGAAGAUGAUGAAAAUGGAAAUCAGAAAUAUUCUUCAAAAAGUAGAAGUAAGCUUAGUACCCAAGGAGAUAAACUGAACCAAAUAAAGGCUCAACGCAAACACACUCGGGCAACUACAACUGCUACUAUUUCUUCCAGUGAAACGAAAGUACAUAAGCGGCCAUCAAGCCAGUCAUUCAAAGCAUUUGGUCUGAAGAAUUCACAAGGCUUUGUAUCUCCAUUAAAAACCUCAAGAGUUGCUGCUGUCAAUGCCAAUAAUUUGGUUAAUUCAGCAGUUGUGUCUUCAUGCAGUACCACGAAUAAACGACUGACCCGUUUAUCAACACCAACAUCUCAGAAUCACAGUGCCAAAAGAAGAAUACGUUUACUUGUUUGCUCUGGCAAUGUAAGACAUAAUUUUGAAUUCCUUGAUAGUAAAUGGCGCAACAAAACAGGGAUGCUGACUCGAAGUGCUGCGAGAGACAUUUAUAAGACAGCUGACAAAGUUGGUGAUCUUAAAUGGCCAUGCAAAAAUAUGUACCAAACUUCUAGGGAUAUAGAGCCAAUCUUCACCAAGCCUUCGUACUUCCGUUAAAAAUCUGUUGGUGCCACCACAUCGAGAAUGUCAGGCUGUUAUCAACUAGUCCAACGUUUUAUAUAUAUAUAUAUAUAUAUAUAUAUAUAUAUAUAUAUAUAUAUAUAUUCCAGAAGUUUUGAGUCUUUUUCAGGAGAGACAUUCAUCAAUUUCAAACAAGUACAAAACUCUAAUUUCCUUCAAAAUAGAAUCCUUUAACUUCAAUGCACUCCAUCCACUUUGUAAAGACUCCAUGGAUGUCUGCCAAAGUGAAGGUGUCUAGGACCUUUGUCAUAACUUUCUUCAGCUUAGGGAGCAAGGUCUAGACUGUAGGAAGGGUGAGAGAUAGUUUCAGUGGCCAUCUCUGUCAAGUAGUUGGUUACCAGAAUGGAAAUGUCUAUCAAUGCAUUGUUUUGGUACAGGUGCUCUGGCCCUUCAUGACAAAAUCACUUCCUGAAUUUCCUCAAAACUGCUACAAAGUAGUCUUUACUGAUCGUUUGGCCAGAGGGAACCCAGUAGAUGUAGAUGAUACCUUUAUUCUCAAAAAAAGGUUCAUAUUGAUCCUCCUGGUGGACUUGCUUUGUUUGGCCGCUUUUGCUAGUAAGAAACAGACGCUCAGCUUAUACAAGUUAAUCCAUGACCAGUCUGGAGCAUUUCAUAAGUUUCUGUAGUGUUUUUGGCCUGUUUAACAAACCUUUAUAGCAUAGCAAGCUUCCAAAUUGUCUUGAUGUCCCAACUACAUUCUGCAGACUAAUCUGCUGUGACAAGCAAUGUUUAGUAAGUGCUGUUAUAAGAAAUUAUAAAUUGGGAAAUUAUAAAUUAAAGCAUGAAUUCAAAUUCUCUUUACUACCAAACAAUAAAUUAUGCCACAGUGAUUGAAAUUAAUAAAGUUGGCUCAUUACUAUUGUAUAUACUAAUAAUAAAUUCCUAAUGUAUAUACAAGAAGAGUCCUAUUAAAUUUCACAUACAUAUAGAUAAAUAAUUGUGUUAAUCUAGUUUAAUAUAAUUUCUUUUUUGAAGUUAUAACUUCUUUAUCUUUAUUUCCUUAUAAAGUUCUGUUGAACUUUAUGCUAGAAGAAUAAAGAGUGGGGUAAAGUUAGUGUACGAAGAGGAUGGGAUGAAAGAUAGAGGAAAUGAGAGAUAAUUUGAUGACACUGCGGAAGGUAGGGGAUGAUCAUUGUAAAUAUGGGUGGAGAUCAAAAUUAAUAGAUGAAUGAUGGAUAAUGAGGGAACUGGUUCUGGCAGUAAGAAAAGUGGUAUCAAAGAGAAACUAAAGUUAGCAAAGUGAUGGCUGAAGAGUUAGCCGAAAGGGAAUUGGGAAGAAUUGUGCUUAUACACACACACACACUCAGUUCUCUGGAGCUCAGUUACACUGAUGUGGGCUGGUCUUCUCAAAAACUGCAUAUUAAGUAGCCAUCUUGGUCCUUUGUGUUUUUCUCUGUGAGGUUGAACGUCAUGAGAUUGGUCUUUACCACCUUGUCCUUUGUCUUCCUCUGUGCGUGUCUCUCUCUCUUCCACAAGUUCCAUCCACCUUUAGUGAUUGAUAGUUCUUUAUACAGUUGUCCUUAUCCAUGUGCAUCUCAUAUCCAUAGCAAGGAAGAUGUCAUUGUCAUUAGCAGAUGUAUUGACUCCGUGAACUUUCAAUAACCUGUUCUUACUCUGGCUACUAUAUUCUUAGAGCAACCAUCUCCCUUGCUAAUUACAUCUCCUUGGUAAUGAAAAGUAUCAACUACUUCUAGUGAACCAUUUGGGUAUUUAAGAGAAACUAUUUCCAGUGUGCUCCUACACACUGUUCCAAUACAUCUGUCACAUACAAAGCUUACAUUCUUCAAUAGCCUGCCUGUAAUUCCAUAACAUCUCUUGUGUGUUCAUAGCUUGCAUUAGCUACAGCAUAUGCAGUUUAUACCUACUCCUUUUCUGUAAGCUGAACAAAGCUAUUUGCCUGAAGGUACCAAGGUCUUGUCUUCUUUCCUAUUUACUAAGACCAUUGUGUUUGCUAGGUUUACCUUAAGAAUUCUCAAUUCUAAGUUAGUUUCCAUACCUGGAAUUUCCUUUCUAAUUUCCUCAUAGACUCAGCUAUGAGAACUAGAUCAUUAUAUAGGAGUGUGAUGACCUAUAGGCCUAUGAUGAAUUGGAGAGGGCUGAGAACUGAAACUUUAUGGACUCCUACUUUCAUACUAAAUCUGUCACUGAAAUCAUUGCUGACACUCACUUACUGCAUCCUUGUACACAAUUUGUAUCAUCCUCAAAACCAUUCCUCUCCCACUAGUUUCCUCAGUGACCAGUAAAUUCUUAAGCAUGGUAUCUUGUCAAAAGUUUUCUUCAAUUUAACAAAAUUCAAGAAUAGUGGUUUAUUCUUAGCCAAGUAUUUCUCCAACAAUUACCUAAGUAGGAAAAUUGCAUCUGUGGUGCCUCUUCAAGAGGUACAACCAAACUGCAUCUCAUUUAGGUCUACACUGUCAUGAAUCAGUUGGGCUAUGACUCUCUCCAAGACCUUCAUAACCUUGUCCUGUAGUUUUAUUAAUCUAGAGUUGCUUCUCUCUAAGGCAUCUCCUUUGGCCUUGUAGUAGUUUAUGAUGAUGCUGCUACACCAGCCAUUGGGUAUGACACCUUCCUAAAUGACUUGAACCCAGGUGGUAACCUUGUAUCCUACCUCUCCAACUAUUUUAAGUAUCCCUGAUUAGACCCAUAGAUUUCCCUCUCUUUAUAUCUUUGUUUAUUUAAUCUAUCACGCUGCUGUCAAUUUGAAUUACUGGUCCUUCUACUGAGUCAGCAUUU